rnacentral:rRNA from 1 species
AUGGCGUGUUGGAAUAAAGUCUCUCCGGUCUCUCCCUACCUUGACGACGUCCGAUCCGGCGCCGGCGAAGGGCCUGUGAGAGUUUGUGUUCCCAGAUCGGUUGGUUCCCUUCAGAUCUUGGCAGUUGGUGUGUCUUUCAAGGAGUACUUUUGGCUGGCGUUUGGUGUGGCGACCACGACAUCUUCUUCUGUGUUGUUCUGUGGCUUAACCCGGUUUCUCCAACCCUCUGAUCUGGUGGUGGUGGAUUGCAAGCUUGUUCUUCUUGGGGUGAUGCUCCAGCCGAUGCUGCUUCAACGACUUUUAGAUCUCGUCUCAAGGGGCGAGUGGCUAUUGCGGUCUUCAAAGCCUUGUGUGGCGAGGGCAUUUGCAGGUUUUGCUUUUCUUUGCUGUUGGUUCAGUGCAAUUUUCAAUCACCGGCGGGCAGCGUACAAUCAGAGGAAGAAGAAGACUAGUAUGCUUUUUAUUGUAAUUUUAUUUUUUACUGGUCGUUUUACGUCCAGUUGUCUAUCCUUUGUACUGGCCUUUGUUUUCCUCGAUGAUAAUCAGAUUUAA